GCAGGACUUAUCUAGCUGCCUCCACAGAAUAGCCAAGCAACUCUACACCCGCUUUAGCCCCCACAAAAACAAGCGGAUUGCACUACAAAUAAUUUGCCUAUUUGGAAAAUGAAAGCUUCUCUGUAGUUUGAGGUCCUAUUUUUUCUUUAAGUUGUUACAGUCUUUUCAUGGUCCUUGAGGUCUAGGUUAGGUUUUUGUUUGGGGUAAUUUUUGUAUCCUAUGGAUACUAUUUAAUCUUUAGUAUUGAGUCAGUAUUUCUCACUUAGGCCUUAGGGGAAUACUGCCUGAAGUAUGUAGGGGGCAUGCGGAAUUCAGACGUGGCUUGGAAACUGCACCAUGGGUUCACCCAAGAAACAGACCAGAGGCAACACAUUCUAUCACUAAAACGUGUUCUCAGUUACACUUCCCUUCCAAAGAGGAGAAAAUAUACAAAGAGAAGAUGAAGAGACAACCAAAGAUUAUUUGUGCCCAUGAGGGAAACACGAAGGAUUGUCAGUAUUCAUUUGCUAUCAGAACUGCCUUUGAACUUCAGGGAAGCCGCCAUCUUGUUUUAGUUCACUCCUCUAAAGCACAGUGUCUGCAACAUGAAACACUAGUAAGACACAGUUAUCCAGAAAGAGCCCUAGAGAUGGAUAAGGAACCUGUUGGAAUGCUCUGAUAUUAAGAAAAAAAAAAUUAAAUUCAAAACCAAAAACAAGUCACAAGUGUCCACAAGAAGUUUUUUCCUGGAAGUCUUUUUUUCAGAGAAAUCUAUGUACCACGGCUGUGUUCAAACAUGAUACAGAGACCCCAAAUGCCACUUGCUUGCUGUCUUCCUGGGAACAGGAUGAGGAUGUAAUCUGAGCUUUUUAGGGUCUAUCUCUACAUUGCAACAUCAUAACACUGAAGUGUAGAUUUAUAGCUGCUUUAUGUAUAUUUUCUUACUCCCAAAGCCCCCCUUUUUACAGAUACAUACACAACAUGUCAUGUAGAAAAAUAUAAAUUGUUGACCGUACAGGCACUUUCUUCCUUUUUAAACCUUUCCAAAGGUCUUUUUGUUAAAUACACCCAGAUGCCGUUUGACAGAUGAGGGGCUAAUUGCUCUGUGAAUUACCUCUAUCGAUUCCUGUUUCAUGUUGAGCCAAACAAACAAAAGAUAUUAAUGCUUUGAAAAAAAUGAAUGAUGACCUUUCUCUGCAAACACAGCUUGCGGUCUCUGAUUAUUGGUGAUUCCAGAGAGCAGCGGUCAAUCGCAAUAGCUGUAACGCUAUGAUCACUAUAAUAAGCUUGCCUGACCUUCUCUGCCAUGUUAAGUGGUUUAAAUUUAUUUGCCCAACAACAGAAGAGCUUUCACUUAAAGUCAC
rnacentral:lncRNA from 1 species